rnacentral:rRNA from 1 species
AUUGAACGCUGGCGGCAUGCCUUACACAUGCAAGUCGAACGGUAACAGGUCUUCGGAUGCUGACGAGUGGCGAACGGGUGAGUAAUACAUCGGAACGUGCCCAGACGUGGGGGAUAACGAGGCGAAAGCUUUGCUAAUACCGCAUACGAUCUAAGGAUGAAAGCAGGGGACCGCAAGGCCUUGUGCGUUUGGAGCGGCCGAUGGCAGAUUAGGUAGUUGGUGGGAUAAAAGCUUACCAAGCCGACGAUCUGUAGCUGGUCUGAGAGGACGACCAGCCACACUGGGACUGAGACACGGCCCAGACUCCUACGGGAGGCAGCAGUGGGGAAUUUUGGACAAUGGGCGAAAGCCUGAUCCAGCAAUGCCGCGUGCAGGAUGAAGGCCUUCGGGUUGUAAACUGCUUUUGUACGGAACGAAAUGGCUCUGGCUAAUACCUGGGGCACAUGACGGUACCGUAAGAAUAAGCACCGGCUAACUACGUG